AGAAUCAACGCUGGCGGCGUGCCUAACACAUGCAAGUCGAACGAGAACGGGUAGCAAUACCUUAGUAAAGUGGCGCACGGGUGAGUAACACGUGACUAACCUACCCUGGAGUGGGGAUAACCGAGAGAAAUCUUAGCUAAUACCGCAUAACACCUACGGGUCAAAGGAGCAAUUCGCUUCAGGAGGGGUCGCGGCAGAUUAGAUAGUUGGCGGGUAAUGGCCCACCAAGUCAGUGAUCUGUA
rnacentral:rRNA from 1 species